rnacentral:rRNA from 1 species
AACGAACGCUGGCGGCAGGCCUAACACAUGCAAGUCGAACGCUCGUAGCAAUACGAGAGUGGCAGACGGGUGAGUAACGCGUGGGAACCUUCCCAGUGGUACGGAAUAGCCCAGGGAAACUUGGGGUAAUACCGUAUACGCCCGAAAGGGGAAAGAUUUAUCGCCAUUGGAUGGGCCCGCGUCGGAUUAGCUAGUUGGUGAGGUAACGGCUCACCAAGGCGACGAUCCGUAGCUGGUCUGAGAGGAUGAUCAGCCACACUGGGACUGAGACACGGCCCAGACUCCUACGGGAGGCAGCAGUGGGGAAUAUUGGACAAUGGGCGCAAGCCUGAUCCAGCCAUGCCGCGUGAGUGACGAAGGCCUUAGGGUUGUAAAGCUCUUUUGGCGGGGACGAUAAUGACGGUACCCGCAGAAUAAGCCCCGGCAAACUUCGUGCCAGCAGCCGCGGUAAGAC